GGCAUUGCAGCCUGCGCUGUAAGGAAAGGGAAAGACACUGAGAAGGUCUCGCCUGGAUCUGAGGACACUCGGGGCCACGGGAUGGCUGUGCAAACAAACCACCCUCUGUGUGGCUCAGGCUUGUUUUAAACAUCACGGAGCCCUGAGCAGAAGGGAAGGCCCAGGGCCAUGCUGGGAAGCCGGCGAGAAGCUCCGAGGGCAGCCACAAGAGGUCUGACGCUUGCUACGACAAGUAAAGAUCAAAUCAGAAGCUGAACGCCCUGAGGCUUUGAAAGAUAGAGAGUGAUUUGUAGCCCCUCCAGUGAAAAGGCUGCUGCCAUUGUUAACAACCUCUGUUCCCGCUUUCUCCGCCAUGCUGGGCGCCGGAGCGCACUGUGUUCCAAGAAGUGAUGCCCGACCAUCUCCAGAGCAGCGUGGACUCCAGGGCGGGCAAUGGGCCUCUGCCACGUCACCUGCAGAGCCGACGGGAGGAAACGGCUCCGAGGCCCAGGGCAGGUAGACUCGGGCAGCCUGGGCCUGGGGUCUGGAAGACUCGGCCUCCAGGACGUGAGUCGUUGCUCUGGCCGCGGCUUCCGGCUGCUCCUGGUGCCCCCAGUUUGGCAUCACCCUCUGCCUCUGGGCCCCAGGCCCUCCCACUCUCACUGGCCCAUCCUCGGAGGGGCCAGAAGGGCCUGCCGCCCUCUCGGCCAGGGAUAGCUGAG
rnacentral:lncRNA from 1 species